GGGGGCGACUGGUUUCGACAUGGUAAGUCGGAGUCGAAGAGCAGGUCGUGGUCUCCUCGCCACGUUAAACAGGGGUACCGUCAAGUUAAUUGGCAAAUCUUACAAUAACAACCUCGCUCUCGCUGCUUAAUUGUAGCUCGAGGUGCCUAACUGGGGAUUUUCCUCGUUCCUGGGGCGGUAUCAUUUUUAGAGGAAUGCUUCUUGCGGCGUAGCUGGUAUACGCAAGAAAAAGAUUGAACCCGCUAGGUAUUUCAGCGGCCUGUCGAUGGGCUUUGAAAUACUAAAGCCAAAACACCGACUAAGCUUGUAGUGCUUUGAUGACGGUUUAGUAUGGACCGGAGUUCGAUUCUCCGCGCCUCCACCA
rnacentral:tmRNA from 2 species